rnacentral:rRNA from 1 species
CGGCUCUCCGAGUGGUAGGGAUGAUUAUUGGGCUUAAAGCGUCCGUAGCCGGCUUAGCAAGUUUCCUGUUAAACCCAGCGACUCAAUCGUUGGAUCGCGGGAAAUACUACUAGGCUAGGAGGCGGGAGAGGUCAACGGUACUUCUGGGGUAGGGGUGAAAUCCUAUAAUCCCGGGAGGACCACCAGUGGCGAAGGCUGUUGACUAGAACGCGCUCGACGGUGAGGGACGAAAGCUGGGAGAGCGAACCGGAUUAGAUACCCGAGUAGUC